GGAGGGCGGUGGAUGCACCACAGCCGCCUGAACGACGGGAAACAAAGAGUGCUCCGGAACUAAGUGCGGAAACGGAACCUUAGGAGACGAAGUUGGAAAUCGAGUAGGAAGGAAGAGGAAUUGCACUUGGUGGGCCAUGUGAUUAGAAGUGGGCAGACGCGCGGCGCUGGCUCUAGGAGACGGCGUGAACAUACCAAGUGUAUGCCCAACCUUCAUGAAAGCCAACAAAGAAACCAAGCGCCUUUUUGUGGGUGGCCUUGGCCAGGCCAUUUCUGAGACAGAUCUACAAAAUCAGUUCAGCAGAUUUGGAGAAGUUUCUGAUGUGGAGAUCAUCACACGGAAAGAUGACCAAGGAAACCCACAGAAAAUCUUUGCAUAUAUUAAUAUCAAAGUAGCAGAAGCAGAUCUGAAAAAAUGUAUGUCUGUUUUAAAUAAAACAAAAUGGAAAGGUGGAACACUACAAAUUCAGCUAGCAAAAGAAAGCUUUUUGCACAGAUUGGCCCAAGAGAGAGAAGAAGUGAAAUCAAAAAAAGAAAAAUCAACAACAGGCAAUACCAAUGUGUCGGAAAAGAUGGGAGGGAUAGAUUUCCAAAUGAAAGCUGUGCCGGGAACAGAAGUACCAGGGCACAAAAAUUGGGUUGUAAGUAAGUUUGGAAGAGUCUUACCUGUUCUUCACCUGAAGAAUCAACAUAAACGUAAAAUCAUGAAAUAUGAUCCAUCAAAAUACUGCCACAACCUAAAGAAGAUAGGAGAAGAUUUUACAAAUACCACUCCUAUAACUAGCCUCACUUGGGAAUUGGAAGGAGGUAAUGACCCUAUGAGUAAGAAACGGCGAGGAGAGUUCUCUGACUUUCAUGGCCCUCCCAAGAAGACUAUAAAAGUACAAAAGGGCAAGGGUUCCACUGUGAGUCCAAGGACCAAUCUCGAAACAGAGAAUAAUAGCACAUCAACCCAGAAAAUGCCUUGUGCUUCUAUUAUUCCCAAAUCAUCCCCUGUACCUAAUUCUGGUUCUCAGAAACUUCAAAAUGUACCUUUUCAGACUUUUGGUUUGGAAACUGCCAGGAAGAGAAAUAGCAUGUCUGAUGAUGAUAUUGAUUCUGAGGAUGAAUUAAGAAUGCUGAUUGCAGAAGAGGAAAACUUACAGAGAAGUAAAUGGUCCUCAAUAAAUGAAUCUGAAAAUGAUCUUUUUGAAGUUGUAAGAGAUGAUUUCAAAUCAGAUGUUCACAAAUUUCAUUCUAUAGCAGGGCUAGGAGUUAAAAACAUCUCUCACUGUGUUAGUGACAGUAUUAUGGGAAGUGACCAUGAAUAUGAUUCAGGAGAUACAGAUGAAAUCAUUGCAAUGAAACAAAACAUUAGUAAGGUCAAAAAUAGUGCAGAGAUUUCACAAACAGAAAAACCUAUGCACAGCAAAACUUUGAAAAAGAAAGAGAUUUUCAAUCAUUGUAAUAAAAUACAAAAAAGAGAAAACAAGAAAGAGUCAGCUGUCAGUAAUGGAGUGAAGCCUCUAAGUCAUAAAUCUUCAUCUGACUCCAGCAGCAGUGAUGAUGAAGACAGUGAAGGAGAUGAGGAGUAUAACGCCAUCAUGAAAAACUGUCCCCGUGUGAAUCUCACUUUAGCUGAUUUGGAACAGUUGGCUGGCAGUGAUCUGGUGGUACCAGAAGAUUCUGAGAGCGAUGGCCCAGAAACCAAGUUUGACAGAGCCUCCAAGAGCCCCGAUACACCCCAUGCCCUUGGCCGAGGCCGAAAGUGCAUUCAUCCUGAGGAAAUUGUGGCUUCCCUUUUAGAAGAAGAGAAAACCUGUGACAAGCAGAAACCAAAGGAAAACAACUUAAAGCCCAAAUUCCAGGCAUUCAGGGGUGUAGGCUGUCUCUAUGGAAAGGAAUCAGUGAAAAAAACCUUGAAAGAGAGUGUGGACUCUAACAAUAUAAAUGAAGAUCAGAGUUCCUUAAAACUGGAGGAUUCCAGUAGCAUAUCCAUUGAAAAUGAGUCCCUACGUCUUAAUGGUUCAUCAAGCAAACUGACUUCACAGCAAUGUGCCAAGACAAUAAAUAGCCCAAAUCACACUCCACCUCAAAAAAGACAGUUCAGUUUUGAGACCCAAUAUCACAAGAUAGUUUCCCCUAGUGGUUCAAAAAAGGGAGGUAGAGAUUCUAUUUCUAGUCUGAUGCCAUUAAAAGGUAAAAAAUGCUUAAGUCUUAGUGCAAAGACGCGUAAAAUAGGCAUUGACAAAGACAGUUGCCAUGGUACCAAAAAGACAGAUGAAUCUUCUGAGGAAGAGGGUUCUGAUUCAAGCAUCCUCACUUCUCUUGAGAAAUUGCCAACCGUCUCUUCCAGAAAAGAUGCUCAGGAAAGCACAGCAGAUUUCUCACUUUCUGUUAGUAGUUCAGCAAAUGUGACUGGUAAGAAUAAGUAUGCUGAAGACAAUCAGAGACGUUUGGCAGCCUUGGAAGCAAGGCAGAAAGCAAAAGAAGUGAAGAAGAAACUGGUCCACGAUGCCCUAGCCAAUUUGGAUGGUCGUCCAGAGGAUAAGCCAACACACAUCAUCUUUGGUUCUGACAGUGAAGAUGAAACAGAAGAGACAAACACUCAGGAGCAAAGCCAUCCAGGAGAGGAGCUGGUGAAAGAAUCUGUGGGUAAAGCCUCCGGGCAACUGUUUGGCAGCAGUGAUGAUGAGGAACUUGAUUCAGAGGAUGACAUUGACAGGUUCAAAAUUAAACCUCAAUUUGAGGGCAAAGCUGGACAGAAGCUCCUGGAUUUACAAUCGCACUUUGGCAAUGAUGACAGGUUCCGCUUGGACUCUCGAUUUCUGGAGAGUGACAGUGAAGAGGAACAGGAAGAGGUAAAUGAAAAGAAAAUUGCUGAGGAAGAAGAGCUUGCUGCAGAAAAAAAGAAAGCCUUAAAUGUUGCACAAAGUGUUUUGCACAUCAGCUUGAACAAUCCUACAAGCAAAGGAUCAGUAGCUACUAAGAAAUUUAAGGACAUCAUUCGUUAUGAUCCAACGAGGCAUGAUCAUGCCACUUAUGAAAGAAAAAAAGAUGAUAAGCCAAAAGAAAGUAAAGCAAAGCGGAAAAAGAAAAGGGAGGAAGCGGAGAAGCUACCUGAGGUGUCUAAGGAAAUGUAUUACAACAUUGCUACGAAUUUGAAAGAAAUAUUCCAAAAUACAAAAGAUACCAGUGAAAAGGACGAAGGGACAGCCUGGAACCUGGACUGUGGUGGAGAUAAAACCGAGGAAAUUGAUAAUGCUACAGCUCUGACAAGUGGGACUGAGCAGCCCAGCGGGUUCAUGUUCUCCUUCUUUGAUUCAGACGUUAAAGAUAUAAAGGAAGAGACCUAUAAAGUUGAAGCAGUGAAAUCUGGGAAGACUAUCUGGAAGGGAAACCCUCAUUUCCAAGACAGCAGCAGUUCAGAAGAAGAAGAUGUUACUGAAGAAACGGAUCACAGAAAGUCCAGCCCUGGAGAAGCAUCAGUACCUGAAAAAGGGACCACUAGAUUUUUCUUUUUCUCUAGGAAUGAUGAACGACUUCAUGACAUAGGGAGAAGAGAGGACCCAAGAGGGGCCAGAAAUGAGGCGGAGCAUUGACAAAAGAGUACUUAAUGACAGGUAACAAUUGUUGGCUCUUCUGAUGAAGGUGUAGGAGUGCUGGGCUUAAGCCUGGAAAUAUGAAUCCACAGGGUAAGCUGGUUAUUAGGUAGUUUGAGUUUGGCUGCUAAGGGAGUGCACAUAAUCACCUGAACAGGACUCUCCCAUUUUGGUUUUAGAGGGGGCUUUUCUCCCAGUGGGCAAUAGUAAACAAGUUGACCAGGUGUUAAGGAGGUAGGGUUUUGAAAGAGACUGAGGUCAGGAAGGAGCCAGUCUUGAUAGCACCAGAGUUCAGAGUGUAGAUGGAAGAGGAGGGGCAGGGCAUAGGUUUUGGAGAUGGGUAGGGGUUCUAUAGGCAAUCCGAGAGGAACGAGAGGAAGGUCAUAUAUGACUUCGAAAGGUGAGAGAUUAGAAGGCUUCUUUGGCAAGGCUCUAAUGCACAAUAAAGCCAAAGGGAGCACCUUUACCCAGUUCAAUCUUAAUUUCAUGAUGAGCUUGGUGAGGGUCUCUUUAAGGGACCAAUUGGUCCUUUCAACCUUUCCGGAAGCCUGGCGGCGGUAAGGGCAAUGAAAAUGCCAAGGGAGUGAUAGCACGUGAGCCAGUCCCUGAGUUAUCUGCGAGGUGAAUUCUGGGCCAUUGUCUGAUUGGAUAGAAGUGGGCAUCCCGAAAUGGGGGAUUCUGUGAGUAAGCAACAGACCAACUACUAUAGAGGCCUGCUUGUUAGAAGUAGGAAAGGCUUCAACCCAUCCCGAAAAAGUAUCUAUUAAUACAAGAAGAUAUUUUAUGUUUUUUACUCAUGGCAUAUUGGUGAAAUCAAUCUGCCAGUCUGCAGCCAGGGUAUGACCAACAGGCCUGAUGAGAAGGGAAAGGUUUAGGUUUUAAUGGAGUAUUGGUAUUGGUUCUCUGGCAGAUAUGACAAGUGGAAGUGAUCUGUUGUAGGAGGGUCUUAUGGCAUGGGGAAAGGGUGAAAAAGGAGUGAAGGAAAGUAGUGAGACUCUGAACCAGACGAGGUCCGAAGAGGGCAGGGGUCCCUCAGAAAUGGUGGUAGGGCAGGGUACAAUCGUGUCUAAUACCUCCAGGCAUUUGUGGACAGGAUCUUGUGAGGGUGAAGAUGGGAGGAGGGCUACAAGGUUUCAAGGACUGAGACAAGGAGGGAUAGAACUCUGAAAGGAGGAAGUCACUGUAGCCCCUUGUAAGUGAGGAAAUCCUUUAUGAGAUGGUUAGCGGGAAGCCAAAGGUAAGCUUAUGUGCUUCUUUCUGGAGGUCAUGGGCUGCUGCUAGGGCUCUGAGGCAUGGGGGCCAGCCCCUGACGGUGGGGUUGGAUAGGUAGGCCACUGGUGCAAAUAUGGGGACAUCCUGACCCAGAACGCCCAGACUUUGUCCCAGUUUUUACAUAGAGGGUGAAGGGUCAGGGAGAUGCAGGGCUGGUGCCCGGAAGAGGGCCUUUUUGAGGAUUGUAAAGGGCUUUCCUACCACUGAGGGCAGGGGUUCAUCUUGGAGGCCCUUGGCCAGAUUAUACCCAGGCAAACCCAAGAAGGAGAGUAUGUCACCUUUGAUCUUUGGUGUAGGUAUAGACACAAUAAGCUGUUUUCUACUGUAAUGGCCUUUUUCCCUUGAAAGAUGCUAUUUGGGCUUUUUGUGGAGAGGCCCGAUAUCCCUUUAAGGCCAAGAAAUUAAGUAGGAGAACUGUGUCAUCUGUUGAGUGCCCUUUGGACAGGCUAGAAGAAUUUGUAGAGGUUUGCAAGAGGUACAGAGAGCAGGAUUGGAUCAGAGCAAGAAGAAAGCCUGGACAUAAGCGAUCUCUAACCAUUUUUCUUGAAUGCUCACAGUAAUUGUAGAGAUCCCUUAGCAUGGAGGGAUCCAGGGACCCAAAAAGGGGCCAUUUGCUUUGGUUGUCUAAGGGAUAAGUGGGCCAGGCCUGGGUGCUAUAUUUGAUCCAAGAGGCAUUGUAGGGGAGAGUUGACCAGCAGAGAGGACGCAGAGAAGGAGGAAACUGAUUUAUUGGCAAAAGGGGCGUCCCCGCUAGAGCCAAAAAAUCAGGAGUGCCUAAGUGGCAGGUUCGAGCUGCAGAGAUUGGUCGUCACCGAAUCCUGACAGUCGAAGCUCUCGUCCUGGAUGGAGCCUGAGCCGUGGGAGACCUUGGCCAAGGCUUUUCGGGACCCCUCCUGAAGAGGCCGGAUACUCCCAGGGCCGGAAAGAGGGGAGAGGAAGGCGUGGGUAAGUGUCUCUCUAGCAGCCAAGUCUAAAAGGUGAGAGGACUAGGACUUUCGAAUCUGCCCAAGGAAGGAGUCCCUGAGGGCCACCAUAGCCUUAAAGGCUGUGGUGGGAUGCUUUCCUCCCCACAGGUGGGCAAAGAGAUUUGCUGGACGAUAAUCAACAUAUUGCAAGAAGGUGGAUUGGGGGCACUGGGGGGUGAAAUGAUUGGAGGUCGGAGGCCAAGGUUUGUCCAAAGAGGUGUGGACUACCUCAAGAUCCCUGAGGAAGGACAGUCCAGAUUAAAGGCAAAAAGAUAUCCUUUAAAUCUAUGACCAAGAAGUGGGUGUCAGUGUGGGGGAUCUGAGACAGCAGGGUGUAUGGGUUGGGAACCAAAGGAUGUAUGGGCCUAAAGGAGGUGUUGAUGAGUCGUAGGUCCUGAACUAAGUGAUAGGACCUGUUGGGCUUUUCUACCGCUAGUUUGGGAGUAUUCUAAGGGGAAUCAGCAGGACGGAGGUUACUCCUUGCUAAGAAAGUCCUGAAUAAUGGGUUGUAGGCCCAGAAGAGCUUUUGUGGACAGGGGGUAUUGAGCCUGAUUAGGGAAGGUGUUAGGAUCUUUAAGAUGAAUGUUAACUGCUAGGCAGGAAAUGGUGGAGGGGGUGUGGGUAUCCCAUACAAUCACCAGGUUAGUAUGGUAUUUCAUGUCAGCCUCACAAGUGGAGCAGAAUGGCCAGUCUUCUUCCAAAAGGGGGCCUGACUGAUGCCAGGAGCCCGGAUAUUGAUUGUUGUAUUGAAUUUAGAGAGAAUAUCUCGGCUGAGCAAAGGAACUGGACAUAACUAGGAACAUCUGAGAGAAUGGGAAGUUGUCUAUGGAACAGAGUAAUAGGGGAGUCUUUCUUGGAUAGAUGGUCUUUCCUACUACCCGACAAUAGGAGAGGUGGACGUUUGCCCCAGAAUUCUGUCAGGACUGAGAAGUUAGCCUGGUGUCAAGGAGAAAGUCAACCUUGCAUCCAUCCACCUGAAUCCGCACCCUGGGUUCCUGUCUAUUGAUCAGGGACAAGGACCCAAGGCUCCGUCAAUUGAUUGCUAUGCCCAGAAGGGCAGAGGGUUCCCCGGCCAUAGGCCUCCUAUGGGGUCUAGGACAGUCAGAGCCCCAAUGACCUUGUUGUUGACAUUUAGGGCAUGGAGUAUGUGGAGUGCAUGGUGCGGGGCAUGCCCUGGCCCAAUGUCCCUCCUUGCCACACUUGAAGCAGGUGCCCAGGGGGUGUUUUCCGUGGUGGGCGGCGACCCAAGGAAGCACCUUGCUGGUCCUGAGCCAGCAGGGCUAGUCUGAUUGGUGGGUAAGGAUCAGGUGAGCCAGCAGGGCUAGUCUGAUUGGUGGGUAAGGAUCAGGUGAGCCAGCAGGGUUAGUCUGAUUGGUGGGUAAGGAUCAUGUGAGGCAGCAGGGCUCACCAUUGGAUGGCAGGAUUAUGUGAGCAAGCAGGGCUUACCAUUGGACAGCAGGGUCAUGUGAGCCAGCAGGGCUCACCAUUGGAUGGCUCUUCUUGGGGUAUGGAGAAGUUAGUCUUUGGAGCCAGGGCAACUCCCAACAGCACUAUUCUAGCAAUGCUACAUGUUUAAUUUUGAAAGAAAAAUAUAUUUUUGAAAAUUUCAUAGAAAAUUUUUUAAAAGAUCUUAACUAGAAUUGGAUACCUUAAUAAUGCCAACUUCAGAAUGUUGUCCAUUUCAGUAGUAGUUUGCUGCCCUGUGUUUCUUGUUUUUCCAUUAAUAGGUUCUGACAUGUUUUGGUGUGGCGUGGGAAGUAAUGUUAGCACGAAUUCUUGGGAGGCCCGAACAAAUAGCUUACGUAUGGAUUGUCGAAAGAAACA